GUGGGGAAUAUUGGACAAUGGGGGGAACCCUGAUCCAGCCAUGCCGCGUGUGUGAAGAAGGCCUUUUGGUUGUAAAGCACUUUAAGCGAGGAGGAGGCUACCGAGAUUAAUACUCUUGGAUAGUGGACGUUACUCGCAGAAUAAGCACCGGCUAACUCUGUGCCAGCAGCCGCGGUAAUACAGAGGGUGCAAGCGUUAAUCGGAUUUACUGGGCGUAAAGCGCGCGUAGGUGGCCAAUUAAGUCAAAUGUGAAAUCCCCGAGCUUAACUUGGGAAUUGCAUUCGAUACUGGUUGGCUAGAGUAUGGGAGAGGAUGGUAGAAUUCCAGGUGUAGCGGUGAAAUGCGUAGAGAUCUGGAGGAAUACCGAUGGCGAAGGCAGCCAUCUGGCCUAAUACUGACACUGAGGUGCGAAAGCAUGGGGAACAAACAGGAUUAGAAACCCCGGUAGUCC
rnacentral:rRNA from 1 species